rnacentral:lncRNA from 1 species
AGGGUGUCUAUGAAUUCAACAAUCUUGGAGAGGUAGAAGAUGUAUGCCCAGAAAAAGAGAGGGCCCGAUGGGGAUGUACCCCUAGGGAAGCAAACGAGGUUCUUGAAGUUAGGCACCUGGGAGAAGUUGGAAGCGAGGCAACCCAGGGCCAUGGUGAAAGAAAGGGUAAGGAGGAAGAUGUUGUCGACGGUUGUGAUUGAUUUGAAGAGUGGACGUGAAAGUGAAGGGCGAGAUAAUUGGGAGAGAACGAAGGUGAAAGAUGUAACACCCCUUACCCGAGACCGUUUCCGGAGUCGAGCACGAGGCAUUACUUAGCUUAUCUUACCAAUUCGGAGCAUAAAAACUAGGUUUGAAAAUUUAUUUCAUUAUUCGCAGCAAAUCUGUCCAAUCGCGCAGCAGUUACUAAAUUAAUUAUAACUUGAGCUACAGAACUCGAAAUUUAAUUCCGUAAAUUUUCCCUAAAACUAGACUCAUAUAUCUACUCACCACAAAAUUUUUAGAAUUUUUGGUUCAGCAAAUUAGUACAGUUUAUUAGUUAAAGUCUCCCCUGUUUCACCACCUGACUGCCCUGACCUCUAGUCACUAAAAAUAAGUUUUCUCACUGUAGGAUUUUCAUAUGAAGUUCUUACUUGUUUCUACAGAAAAUAGACUCAUUAAGAAAUCUAAGCAUGUAAAUUUAAACUCAUAAACAUUUUUGUACAAUUUUUAAUUAUUUUCUAAACUCAGAACAGGGGACUCCAAAAACAGUUCUGACCCUAUCUUACUAAAAUUCACAUAUCUUAAAAUAUAAAUUUCCUUUUUCUACACCGUUAUUUUUCCAUGAAAAUAGACUCAACAAGCUUUAAUUCCAUAUAUCAUUCACCCUCUAAUUCAUUUUAUACUAUCUUGGGUGAUUUUUAAAAUUCACGUCACUGUGCUGCCUGAAUUCUGUUUCUUUGCAAAAUUUUAUCCUUUCAUGAUUUCCAUGCAUAAUUUAUCACCUAAUCUUUCAUAAUAACAAACACCUUCAUCCUUAAUCAUUUUAAUAAUCAUACAUCAUCAAAUACUUACACAUCACUCAUUAGCAAAAUCAUCAUUACAAACAUACAAAAUAACUAAAUCCCUAUACAUGCCAUAACUCAAACGUGUUUCGAUAUAAAAUACCGAGCAGUUGUAGUUGAUAGUGUGGACGAUCUCCGACUUCUUUAGGAUCCUUGAAGUAGCUUUGCAAUACUAUAAGAGAAAGAGAAAUAAAAGAAGUAAGCAUAAAGCUUAGUAAGUUUACUAGCAAAUAAAUAACAAUAUUUAACUUAAAUAAUUAAACUCAAUGUCUAUAUCUCUAGUUUACUCUUUAGUUAAUCUCAUACUAGUUCUCUUACUUGUUUACUUAGAAUACUUGUGUGCAUAACUUACUCAAUCCUUACUGCAUCGUUGAACAUCAAUUGAUAGAUAAUAAGUUCUUAAGUCUUACAACUUACCUGAGCUUGCCAUUUAUGCUUUAAACUGAACUUUCAUGAACAUGAUUCGUUUACAAGCCCGUUGAGUUACAUUGGAAUAAUAAGGAUACUCGAGUCUCUUCUGAUAAUAACAUGCCAAAGCCAUGUCCCAGACAUGGUAUUACAUGGGAUGUUCUCGUGAUGGUGCCCAUGCCAUGUCCCAGACAUGGUCUUAUAGGGGACCUCUCAUCUCGGUGCCAACGCCAUGUCCCAGACAUGGUCUUACAUGGGACCUCUCGUCUCGGUGCCCAUGCCAUGUCCCAGACAUGGUCUUACAGGGGACCUCUCAUGAUCUUAAGGAUGUCAAUGCCAUGUCCCAGACAUGGUCUUACAUGGGAUCUCUGUAACAACCCGGUUUUGACCCUAAUCAGAAUAGUGGUUUCGGGACCACAAAUCUGAAUCAAAAAAAUAUUUUAAUAUUAUUUUGUGUGUUUAUUUUGUGUGCAUUCGAUGGUGUGAAAUUUUCGUGUUUUAAUUUCGUUGUUUAAGUGUCCGAUUUAAUUAAAGGGCUUAAUCGCAUAAAAUAAAAAUUUGAUGGCUAAGUAUGAAAGUGCUUAAUUAUUUUUAUCUUUAUAAUUUGGAGGUUUCAUGUUGAAAUUUAGCCAAUAUUAAUGGUAGUGGACGGCAAUGAUGGCUAUUAUAUAUAUUAUAUAUAUAUUAAUUAUAAAAGUAAAAUAACAAUGAUAUAAUAUAUUGAAAAUAAUAAAACUUAAAGAUAAAAAAAAAAGCAUGCAUGUUGUCUUUCUCAUUGCCGAAUAUACAAAAGAAAAAGAAGAAAAAAAUAGCAAGCUAGGUUCGGCCCUUAUUUUGCUUGAUUAAGGUAUGUUUUUGCUUCGGUUUUUGAUGAUUUUUACGUUUUUGAGAUCGUUGCUUUGAAUACUUCAAAACCCAUGUCUUAAUUUUGUGAAUUGAUGAAUAUUUUGAAUUAUGCCAUUGAUGAAUAUUUGUGUUUUGGGAUGUUUGAUGAUGAAUAAUGGAAGAUAUGUCUUAGAUUAACAUGUUUUGUAUUGAUAUUUUUGAUGAAUUUGAGUAUUUAGGGCUAAAUUGUGAAAAUAAAUUUUUGAGGGACUAAAAUGUGAAAUAAAUGCAAUGUGUGGACUUGUAUGAGAACCAUGAAUAUUCGGCCCUUGUGUGUUAUGGGCAAAUUUUGUGUAUUUUGUGUUUUGUGCAAAAAGGACUAAAUUGCAAAAAGUGCAAAAUGUUAGGGGCAAAAUGGUAAUUUUCCCAUUUAUGUAUCGUUGGACUCAAAUGAAUGUUUUGAUGAAUAAAAAGGUUAAAUUUGACUAUGUUUAGAUCAAGGAACGAAGAAAACGAAUUUGGAUUGGGGGAAGUCGAAGGUAAUCGAAUAGUCGAUCGUGUUUGCUGUUAUCCGAGGUAAGUCUAUUAGCUAUUUAAUGUCAUAAAAUCAGUAUAUAAAUAAGUAUAUGAGCUGUUUUUGGAUGAAUUAUAAUUAAAAAUAUGAUAGUUGAAAUAAUUAAAAGUAUGAGUGAAUUAUAUAUAUUAUGCAAAUCUACAUCUAUAUGUUCUCGUAUUGAACUUAGGUAUGCCAUUUAUACAAGUUUAUAAGGGGUUCGACUAUGCAACUAUGCAUGUAUAUGUUCUUGUGAUAAAUUUAAGUAUGAAACUUAUAUAUGAAAAAGGGAGAUUCGAUUAGGUAUGUAUGUUCUUGUAAAGGUUCUUGAACGGGGUUGAAGAGAUGAAAUUAUUAGCUUGGAUUAUCUUAAUGUGUUCGAAAGUACGAUAUUAAUAGUAUGCUUCAAUGUGUUAAGUUAUAUAUAUAUAUAUAUAUAUAUUCGGAUGUAUAAUUUAGAUAUUGAGUUGAAUUUGAUGACUGAAUUUUUUAUACCGAUGUGGGUUAAGGAUAUAGUUUAUAAAUUAUUGAGCUGAAUUUUUAUGUGAAUUCUAUAUACCAUUAUGAUAUACAACUCCUAUGAAUUGAGAUUCUUUUGUUAAAGCUCAGUAUCAUUCGGUUUAUCGUUAGUGACAUAAUUCAGACUUUACGUCUAGCAGGCUUAAUGCCGGUGAAAUUAUUCAGACUAUAAGUCUAGCAGGCUUAAUGCCGGUGACACAUUUCAGACUAUAAGUCUAGCAGGCUUAAUGCCGGUGACACAUUUCAGACUAUAAGUCUAGCAGGCUUAAUGCCGGUGACACAUUUCGGACUAUAAGUCUAGCAGGCUAAGAGCCGGUGUAUUGAAUCAGGUUUUAAAACCUAGCAGGCUAAAUGCCGGUGAAUCCGUUUAAAGCAUGUGAUAAUAUACAAUUGAUACCUCUAUGAUUUUGAUUAUAUGAAAUCGAUGUAUACAUAAAUGUUCAAUCACAUGAUUUUAGUCAUAUUAACUUGAUGAGCAUAUAUAUAUAUACAUAUAUUUGGUCUAAGCAAUUGAUAGAUAUGUAUAUAUAUAUGUUGCAUUCGGCAUAGGUGGAUAUAUUUAUGUGUAUGCAUUCGGCAUAGGUGAAAAUAAGUGUAUGUAUCUAUGCAUUCGGCAUAGAUGGGUAUAGGUGCAUAUGUGCAUUCGGCAUUUAUGGAUGAUAAGCAUAAAAAUUUGGCUUUUGAUAUAUGUAGUUGAAUAGUUGUAUUUAAAUGGAUUCGAUGAAGUGCGAACAAUAAGUACUCUAGAAAUCAGUAUAUGCUGUUAAGGAUUAUGCUAGUAACUUGAUUAUAUGCUUAUAAUGUAUAUACAUUUGUCCGUUUAUGUGUAUUAGAUAAAUAUACAUCCUUUUAGACUUAAACAAAAUGACUCAAUAAAGUAGUGUUUGAUUAGUAAUCAUAUUUGAUGAUUGUAAUUUCAAUAAAUUUACUUAAAGAAUUAUAUGAUUCUUUUAUAUGUAUUUUAGAUAUGCUGUAGACUUACUAAGCUAUAAAAGCUUACUUUUUUUGCUUUCGUUCAUUCGUUUUUAUAGAUUUUUUUUUGGAGACGCGUUACGAGCUCGGGGAUCAUCAGCACCGCCCAUCACACUAUCGACUUCUUUUGGUAUUUUGUUAAAUAUUUGAACUCGAUCUUAUGGCAUGUAUAGGCUUGAUAAUGUUUUGGAUAAUUUUGAAUCCUAUUGUGUAAAUAGCAAUGCGAAAAGAGUUUAACUUCCAUGCUUGAAUUUGAUUAUAUAUGUUCAUGAAUUGGACUUGCAUUUGGAAUUAGAUAUUAAAGUUAUGUUUAUGUGAGCUUGGUUUCGUAAUGCCUCGUAACCCUGAUUCGGCGGCGGAGACGGGUUAGGGGUGUUACAAUCUCUUUACCCAAAUGUCAUGACAUUCGUAUCCAGUACCAUCCUUAUGUAUCAACGGGACUUUUAAAUUUUAAUUCUCUAUCAUUUCAUGCUUGGAUCAUCAUCAAAUAAAUUCAUAAAAUAAAUUCAUAAUUGCUGGAAAUUAACAGCAUUAAUAAUAAAUAUUGAAAUAUUGCAUUUAUUUACCGUAAACUUACCUCGGUACCAAUUAUAGCCAAAUUCACCAACUUAGUCUUCAACUUUAUUCUUCCCUUUGUCUAACCUCGAGUUUCGUACUUCUUGAUCUAAAAUAGUAAAUUUAACUUAUUUAAUAAUCACAUUCAUCAAAACAGCCCUCGACUCUAACUUUUUCAAAAUUACAAUUUUGCCCCUAAACUUUUACAUAAUUACAUUUUUGCCCCAAGGCUCGGAAAUUAAACUUCAUCUCUUAUUCUUAUGUUUUAUAACAUUCUGAACAUUUUUCCCUUCUAUGGCAACAUCAAAUUCCCACUCUAACAUGUACUUAUGAACAUUAGGUAUUUUUACCGAUUAUGUCGUUUUACUCGUUUUCACUUAAAAUCGCUUAGCAAAAGUUGUUUAACAUAAUUUAUAGCUUCAUAUUCUAUCAUAAAACAUCAAAAUAAACACUUUUCACCUAUGGGUAUUUUUCCAUAAACCCUAGGUUAAAUUAUUGCUAGAAUAAGCUAAAUUAAGCUACCGGGAUCUCAAAAACGUAAAGAAUAUUAAAAACGGGGCUUGGGAUCACUUACUAUGGAGCUUGGAAGCUUGAAAACCCUAACUAUGGCUUCCCCCCUUGCUUAUUUCGUUCAUAUGAAGAAGAUGAUGAUUUUUGCCAUCUUUUUCCCUUUUAAUUCAUUUUAAUUACUAGAUUACCAAAUUGCCCCUAACUUAAAAAUUUUCUAUUUCACUUAUCUCAUGUCCAUUUUUGUCUACCAAGUUACCAAUGGUAUAAUUACCAUAUAAGGACCUCCAAUUUAAAGUUUCAUAACAAUUGGACACCUCUAACAUGUAGAACUCAACUUUUGCACUUUUUACAAUUUAGUCCUUUUGACUAAAUUGAGUGCCCAAACGUCGAAAUUUUCGAACGAAAUUUUCAAAAAAUCAUUUUGUGAAAUUUUAGACCAUAAAAAUAUAAGAAAAAUAAAAUUUUUCUCAUCGGAUUUGUGGUUCCGAAACCACUGUUCCGAUAACCUGAAAUUUGGGCCAUUACAAAAGAGAUGUAAGACAAGACAGUGAGGGUGAGGAAGAGAUGAGAGAAGCUGGUGUUUGGCCAUUUUCCCAUGAAAACUGGAGGAUUUUGGGAUGCUUCACUAGCCAAUCCUCCAAGGUUGAGAACAAGGCUUGUUGCACCACCAAGUCUUUGAUACAGGAGAAAAGGGUUGGGAAAAAGGGCACUUCCAUCUUGCUGCUGCCUUUACUACUCUAGUACUACUCAGUUAAAAAAGCUGCAGCAAAAAGGAGAAGGGGGGAUUGCCUUUAUAAGCACUGAAAAGUUACUUAUGAUCCAAUUUUUUCUCAACUGCCUACUGGUACUGGAUAUCAUUGAUCCAUCCACUGCAUUCCUGUUUAUGGUUAUUCAUUUAUGGAUAAUGGUCCGCCAGUAAUGAAAUCAUUUAUGGAUAGGGGGUAAUUAGCCUACCCCUCUUGUAACUUGUAAGUAAAUAGAUUUUUGGGUAAAUUAAACUGUUGCUUAAUUAUCUAAUUAUUAGUAAAUUUGUUACAAAAUUAAUACCUAACUAUUACUGAAAUUUUUUGUCACCUAAUUAUAAAAAGUUAUAAAAUGGUCACUCAACUAUUAAAUUUCAAUGUAACACCUUCAUACUCGACCUGAAUAUCGAGUCAAAGUACUGGGAUGCUACAUUCAUUGUCGAAGCAACUUUGAUGAUUUCAUGUCAAUUAAUCAUUAUAAAACUCAAAUUAUAUCAAAACACUUGCAAUAACUUGUGUACAUGUCAUAUUCUAUAACCAAAAUAUCAAAUUCGUACUCUCUUCAAGCCUUGGUGAUGAGAUGAGAUGCGUGGAAAUCCCAACCCGAAUCUAGAGCUUCAAUUCGAUCUUCCAUCUAUGUGUUUAAAACACACAUUAUGCUUGUAAAAACUUAGAAAGUACCCAAGAAUCCAAAUUUCAAGUUUUUUUUACCUUGAAUUCUAUAUAUAAAAAUUUACCAUAAUUCACUACUUUUAUAUUUUCAUGGAUUGGUAUGAACAAAGCUUUUACCAAAUUAAUUCACUACAUUAUCACUUACUUCAUUAUCACUUACCAGUUUAACAAAAUUUGUUAUCAAAAUCCUUUACUUGUCAUCUCACUAUGUAAUAGGAAAUUUUUAUAAGAAUUUGUUUAUCAUAUAACUCUUUAUUUUGUUUAGAUUAAUUAGAGUUCCAUUAGAUUAUUAAUUGAAUUUAUUGUGAUUUAUGUCUCAAAGGGUUCAAUUGUACACUUAUCCAUCUAGGCAUUAUAUCAAUUGAUUUUUUCAAUCAACCUUCCACUUUUUAAUUUUCGUUUUAUUUAUUUAUUGUUUUAAAUCUUUAUUCUUUGUUCUUAAUUUUUUUCUUUAUUAUUAUUUUUAAAUAUGUUUGGUUUCUUCUUUUCAAGUCAUUCUUGAAUUUUUUAGUUAGAACAACUCAAACACAAUCUUCUUUCACUGCUCCUUUAUUAAGAAUAAAACAUAUUUCAUGGCUAAUAAUUUACCUAUUCGAAAAGCACCCGAAAAGAUUAAUCACUACUACUAACAGUAGAUAUAUCCUGAUUACGAAAAAAAGAAAAGAUAAAAUACAAUUUUACGUUAUAAAAAGUUGUUAUGAUUUUAUAAAAAUAUGGCAUGAAUCAUGUCAAAUCAUAUAAAUGAAAUAUACCUAUAAUAAUUCAUGCCCAAUUUAAAUAUAGAAUGAGCACCAAUAACUUUUUCACGUGCAACAAUAAAUAUUGAGAAUAACAAAAGAGCAAGAAAAUUGGAAAGAUAAAUGCUUUAUCUAAAGUCUAAACUUCAAACAAUAAAAUCCUGACUUUUCCCUUGCAUGGAAUUAUGGAUAUAUAUUUGUAUAAUAUUAGUAAAUAGUUUUUUUUUUAUGUUAGAAUACGAUGAGGACUAGAAAAAAAUUAUACUCUCAAUUCAAAUUUAAACCAUUAAAAAAUAAAAAUAAAAAGUUUUAGACUCGAGCUUGACAUUAAAAAAACAAAGAAAUAAAUAAAUAAAAACUAAUAAUUUAUUCAAAAAUAGCAUGUAAACACGUGUAUCCAUUUAAAAAACUAACCUCUUAGGAGAGAAAAAAAAUAAAAAUUAAGAUAAAAUUACAAUCAAACGAGAAUUAGGACAAAAUAAUAAGAUGUAACAAAACAAAUUAUUUAUACAAAAAACUUGUAACUGAAAAGCUAAUUAAUAUAUCAAAUAUUCUUAAUAACAAAUAUUACCAUGUACAAAAUGUGUAACUGAAAUUAAAGUUGAAUUGAAAAUUUAUUAACUUUUUUUAUAAUAAUAUAUUUAAUAAAACUAAAUAAACUAAUCAAUUUAAAUUUAGAAGAAAACAAAAGUAAUACAUUGGUAGUGUAUUUUUUUUAUUUCACAAACAACUUUAAAAUUUUGUUAUGUGGCUUUUUUUUUAAAUAUUUUACUCUAUCUUUAUAACUUGUUAGCCCUCUAACUUUACUUGUGAAUUAAGAUUAAAAACAUCACUGAUAGCGUAUAUCAAAUAUUUUCUCAUAUUUUAAUUAUAAAAAAUAAUAUAAAACUAAAUAAUCCUAAUGACAAUCAAUAUGCAAUUGAAGUUAAUUAAUAUUUAUUAAAUUUCAACUCAUUUUAAUUUACAUUUUAUUAUUUUAAUAUGAAAAUAAAAUAUUAAUAUAAGAAAUGCAUCCUAUUUUAACACUUUGAUUUUGAAUAAAAGUUAGAACAAUUCUAUUUUUAUAAUUCAUAUAAAUAUUAAAAUUAUUUGGGAUUUUAAUAUAUUAAAAUUACCAAAUUAAAGAUUAAUAUUUAAAUUUAAUUAAGUUAAAACAUUAAUUUUUUAUUUUAAUAUUAAAUCUGUCUCUCUUUUUUUUUUACCUUUUAAAUAUAUUUUCUAAUUUAAAAUCAUAUAGAAAUUUUAUUAAAUAAAAUUUAAAUUCAAAUUGGAUCAAAUUUAAAAAUUCAAGUCCUUCAUAUUAUGCAAACUAAAAUUAAUAGGGAUUUAUCUAAUGUUGAAUUGAAGUCAUCUAUCGGAUUUGAUGAAGAAAAACACGAUGAAUUAAUUUAUCUUGAUUUUUUACUUUUUAUAAUACAAAUCAUAAUUGAUGGAGGCUAUAAUUUUUUCAUUAAUUUUGUGUGUAACCUUAAGUAAACCCCAAGCAACAGAGGUUAUAAUUUUUUAUUAAUUUUGUGUGCAACCCUAAACAAACCCUAAGUAAUGAAGGUUAUGAAAUUUUAAAAUAAUAAUAAUAAAUAAUAAAUAAUUAUCAUUAUAAAUUAUAAUUACAAUAUUAAUUAAAAAAUAACAAAGUAAUAUUAUAAAUCUGAUAAGUUUAAAGCUUUCAUAUUAAAAAAAUAUAAUAAUAUGAUUGUGGUCAAAGUAAAUUUCAUUUUCAGUAAUAUCUCUUCAAACAAUUCUAACUUAUUAAUCUCUACUUUUUUUUUAAUAAUUUUUUUAGAUGGUACUUGAUUUCACCAUAAGCAUUAUAAUUUUAAAAACUUCAAUUUCAUUUGAUUUGAUUUUCAUAUAAAAUUUUAAUAAAUAUAUAUUUUUAUAUAAAUCUUUUUCGUGUGUCAUAACUACAUUUUGAAUGUUUUAUAAUUUAAUAUGAAGAAAAAUAAUUCAUUUGGUUGACCUAUUGUCUCUAUCAAUUUCAUAGUCAAUUACUUUAUUUUAUUCCCAAUUAACUUCAAUUGAUUAAAACUAAUCCGUAGAAACAAUACAUGUGAUAAAGUAGUGUCUUAGGUUUACAUCAUUUGCAUAAUUGAUUGUUGACCUUAUGACCAAAUUAGUUUGAAAUAUUGGACUGUCAUUUGAUGCCCUACUCUCAAAAUUUUUUUGUUACCAAAUUUAUUUUAUGUUGUGUAUAUAUAUGACACUGGAUUUUCUUAAUAUUCUCUAAGAAAAAAAAAACUUAGAUAUGACGUUAAAUUGGAAUUUAAUGGAUGAAUCAUGAGGUGUUUGUUCCAAAUCUUACCAGACAUAAAAUAUUGGUGUAAUGAAAACGACAAAAGCAUGCAAUAUCUUAAAUAAUAUAUAUGACGAUAAAAGGGACAAGUUAAUUUUUGAUGAGGUCCUGUCAAACUUAUUAACUCACCUGCUUACCAUAUUUAAUGUUGACUGCGACAACAAUUUCUAUGUCAGCCUUCAUUUAUUUAUCUCAUCAACUUUUUUUUUUUUUUCACUUCACGGUCGUUCCAUUUUCUUCAUCGUCAGAAACGAUAAUACAAUAUAAUUGCAUGCAGCAGGAACUGUUUAAUCAUGCAUUUACAGUAAAAACAUAAAAUAUAAAUUAACAAUGAAUCUCUUCAAUUAAUUGAUAUUAAGAUACAUAUGCACACCGAAGAAUUGAAAUCGUAAAAGGAAUUUAUGACAAUUAUGUUCAUUUUUUUCUUCAACUGAUCAAUCACUCUGAAACAAUAACUACAUAUAAAAAUGAAAACGAAAUGAAAACAAAAGGUAGUUUAAUUAAUUAUUAGUUACCCUUGAAGACCUUGGCAUUGGUGGAGUAACUCUUGGCAUGAAAGUCUGAGAACAAGUAGAGAAGAGAGGCGAUGAAGGCUGCAUUGAAACACCAACUCAGAAUCCCAGAGCAGCCAGAAGCUGUGAAGUGGUAGAACACAAGCAUGGCCAUGAUCAAAAAGCUUAACCAGAACUGCACUAGUUGAAAAUCCGUCACCAUUUUUUUCCACUUAGGGUGCAUCCCCAGGGUGCACAACAGGUAAUAGGUGUACAUUACGACAUGCACCACGCAGUUGGUGACCAGCACCAUGGGUACGGAGGACUGAGCACUGUCUAAGCAAAUAUAACACAUGAUGACCACCAUGGAGUGAUGGUAAACGUGAAGGAAGGAUAGCCUCUUCAUGGAUCCGCUGAGGAUGAUCAAAAGGGUGUCCAUGAAUUCAACAAUCUUGGAGAGGUAGAAGAUGUAUGCCCAGAAAAAGAUAGGGCCCGAUGGGGAUGUACCCCUGGGGAAGCAAACGAGGGUGUUGAAGUUAGGCACCUGGGAGAAGAUGGAAACGAGGCAACCCAGGGCCAUGAUGAAAGAAAGGGUAAGGAGGAAGAUGUUGUGGACGGCUGCGAUUGAUUUGAGGAGUGGACGUGAAAGUGAUGGGCGAGAUAGUUGGGAGAGAACGAAGGUGAAAGAGAUGUAAGACAAGACAGUGAGGGUGAGGAAGCGGUGAGAGGAGGCUGGUGUUUGGCCACUUUCCCAUGAAAACUGGAGGAUUUUGGGAUGCUUCACUAGCCAAUCCUCCAAGGUUGAGAACAAGGCUUGUUGCACCACCAAGUCUUUGAUACAGGAGAAAAGGGUUGGGAAAAAGGGGACUUCCAUCUUGCUGCUGCCUGUACUACGUCAAUCAAUAAAGCUGCAGGAAAAAGGAGUGGGGAUUGCCUUUUUAAGCACUGAAAAGUUACUUAUGAUCCAAUUUUUUCUCUACCUCAACUGCCUACUGGUAGUAGAUAUCAUUGAUCCAUCAACUUGCCACUGCAUUCAUGUUUAUGAUUGUUUUCAUUUAUGGAUAAAGGUCCGCCAGUAAUGAUUUCAUUACUGCCUAUAGGGGGGUAAUUAGCCCCUCUAGUAACUCGUAAGUAUAUAGAUUUUUGUAUAAACUAAACUAAUAGUAACUCAAUUAUUAGUAAGUUAUUUUUAUUUUGUCACUUAUUAAUGAAAAGUUAUAAAAUGGUCUCUCAACUAUUUAAUUUUAUCUCCUUUUUUUUUAUUACCAACAAGGUAACUGUGGCAACUUUUAAAAUUUAUAUAAUAACAAUUUUAACCUUCAUGAUUUAUUCAUUAUGUCAAUUUUGUCUUAACUUUAGAAAAUUUAACUAUUAAAAUUUACACAUUGUGUAAUUUAGUCUUAUAAUUUUGCUCUUCUUUAUGUCCCUUUCAACUAAAAUGUUAAAAAAACACAUUUAUCAAGUAAAUUUGAUUGAAAAUAUACAAACAGAAAAAAGAAACACUCAAAAAUCUAAAAUAAUAAUUUUAAACUUUUCUUGUUAUUUUAAAAAUAACACUAAAUGUCGCAAAGAAAAUAAAGUGCAAAAAAAAAAAGAGACCUAAUUCAUAAUGUGGAUUUGUUGAGGGUUAAAUUCAUUUUAGAAUCAAGACUAAAUUGACAUAUUUUAUAAAUGUUGAUGAUUAAAGUUAUUAUUAAUUAUGUAAAAUUUAAAGUUUUCACUAUUAGUUAGAUGGUAAAAAGAAUAGUUGAGUAACUAUUUCAUUGAGCAACUAAAAAAUAUACUAAUAUUUGACUAAACAUUUUAUAAUUAUUGAGUAACAAAAAUAUAUUCCAAGCCAUUGCUAGUGUAGUUUAGCUAGAUUUUUUAUUCAUUAACACCUACCGUAAGUCUCAGCUAGUAGAGACAAUUUUACACAAUUGAGUUCGUUCGGUCAAAACAACUCAACUUGGUUAGAUUAUUGUCAAAUUUAGUUUCAUAAUAAUUAAUUUAAGUAUUUUAUGUGUUUUAAAAUUUAAAAUCCCUUCUAAAAAUUCGAAUUAAGCAUUAAUAAUUAAUUAUAAAGUUGAAUAUUAGAAUAUAUAUAUUUAUACAUACAAAUACACUAUAGCUCAACUUAUACAUCUAAAUGUCUUCAACUUAUACACUGUAAUUACAUCAAACAAUCUAAAACGUAUCAAUGUUGUAUAAAUUAAAAUUUUUCAUUACUCUUGUCAUUUGUUUGAGAGUUAAAUGUUAUUUCAAAUCUAAUAUGAAUUUAUUUAAAAUACGUGAGUGAAACUAUAAAUAUGUGUGUACCUAUUACAUGAAUAAUUUGAAGACAUGUUAAUAAAAAAAUACCCCUUCUAACAUUGUUUGUUGUUUUAACAAACUAGAUCUAGAUCCAAGCUAUCCAUAUGAUAGGUACACAAGUGUACUUAGAACCUACCAAUCAGCAAGGUACCACCACUUCUCUUGGUUGUGCUCCAUUAGCGUUGUGAGCAUAAUACCAAUAUCGUCCUCUUUAGGCAUCACUAACACGUUAAGAUUUUGUAACUUUAAGAUGCAUCUCUUUAAGUUUAAACUCACGAUCUCUCUAUGUAGGAGACCUUUUUGCAACCAUGGCAUGUCCCAUUGAUCUGGCUUUAAAAGGCGCCUUUUUAUGUCUUGAUCCGUCGACCAACAUGUACUAAUACUUCACUGCGUCGGAUUACUCUAGCGUCAUGGCAUAAUACAAAUGCUGCUGUCCUCUUCAGGUGUCCGCCGAUCCUCCAAGAAUAGCUCACCCGAAGGUAUGCCACUUCGGAUUUGAAAUUAGAACUUUCGAGUCAUGUUCUCAAUUAUGGCACCAUUUGAUCUAACCUAGGUAAUGGAAAACACUCAUAAGUAGGAGGUCUUUGUUUCAAACUUAGGAGGCGCAUCUUCGGGUGACAAAACUUUGCUGAUAGGCACCCAAAUAGGAUAAUAAUAUUGGUAUUAUGUCACUAGUGUGACGCAGCUUAAGUAAGUGAUCAUAGUACCUUAACGAUUGACAGGUCGUGACAUAUAUUUUUUAUUUGAUCCACAAAAAAAUUCGACAUAAAAUUGAAUUUGAUAUUUAAUACAUAAUUUAAAUACACAAUUAAAAAUUAAAAAUUUAGAAUUUUGUUACGAUUCAAACCACUAUUAAUUACAUCAAAUAUAUUUGGAGUAACAGUGUUUUUAUAAAUGGGUUAUUCAUGAUUUUGACACUUCUCAAUCAGUCAAGGUAUAAAAUCAAAAUUACAGAAUAUAUAUCACUAUUUUAAUCGGUUAGAUAUCCCUGCCACAUUUAAUGUUUUUUUCUUUCAUUUCAUUAUCAAAAUAAAAGAUAUGUCCGAUUGAAAGCCUAACCAUACAUCUAUAUUAUUAAACGCAAAGGUUGUAGAGUUAAGUUUAAAAGGGUUUACAGUGUUCUUAAUUUCGCUUUACUACUAGGAUUUUUUGAAAAGUAUGAUUUGGAGGGUAAAAUAUAUUAAGAGUUCUCCUUUUUACUUUUUUUUAGUACUAAUGGUUUUUCUCUCUCUUGUUGAUUAAAUUGUGCACUUGCACUUAAGUUUGCAAGUAGUACUUUUCUUUCUGAAAUGAGUUUUACAAAACUAUUAUUAUAUUCACUAUCUUCAUAACUUCUCCCCCAUUACUCACUAUAAGUAACAUAAACUUGAUUUCAUUCACUUUACCCAUUAUUCUUAAAACAUUCUUGUGAAUUAACCUAUAUCUCUCCCACAUCCUAUCAAAUAUGCCACUUGUUUCAUUUGAGGGGACUUUUGAAUCGUAUGGCAAACUUGAGUGCUUUAAAAAUUCUCUCUAUAACUUUCUUUCUACAAUCAUAAUAACACCGUAGCUCUCAUCUUUUUCAGCCCCUAAUUGUUUCCAUCACCACUACCUGCUACUACACUUGUUUGUUAGAAUGUGGAGAUAAAAAUAAGUUUAUGAGAAAUUAACAAAGGCUUCAAGGCGUGUAAUAAUGCCAUUAUCUUUAAGGUUCUAUUCGCCGCUACCUAUAUUUUGGUGUGCAAAAGAGAUAUUAGUAAAUAAAACUCGAGGAUACAAUGAAGUACAAUAAUUGUCUACGUUUUGCAGUAAUAGAAAUAGUCCGUUGAGCAUUGAGCAGAAUAUGAGAAGGAUAAUCAAUUUUUAUAAAGAAUUUUUACAGUAAUUCUUUAUAUAGCAAUCUAGAAAUAUAAAAGAUGGUGGGAAAAUAGAAAAAAAAAUUGUUUCAAUGCUUUUGGGUGUUUCGUACCAAUGAAAUUCUACUCCUAUUUAUAGGAGAUCUCAUGUCUCUUCAUAGGAAUAAAAUUACCUAAAUGGAUGGUCAUAUAUUUAGCAAUGAAUAUAAUUAUUCAACUAGAUAGUAUGUGUUAAUAAUCAAGUAACGUAAUUAUUGAAUUUAAGAAACAUAACUAAUCACUAUAAAUAAUGACAACAUUUGAUUAAUAACUAAGUGACAUAACUUUUAGUUAUUUAUAGUAUCUUAUUUAUAAUUAUUAGAACACUAUAAAUAUUUUAAAAAUGUUCCAACAUUAACUGUUUUCCAGAGUUUGAUCCAAUCUUCCAUUAUAUGUAAUGUUUCCUCCAUUAACCAAAAGAAUCCUUUACAAUAUGGAACAUCAUUGCUGUGUAUUUGUCAUACAUGCUAGAAUCGUUUUGUCCAAAAAAUUUUGGAUUAGUUCUUACAUUAUUUUCAGGAUUUUAAAUAGCAGUUGAGAAGACUAGGUAAUGUUGAAUAUCAAUCAAACACACAUUAUGUGUAUAGAAAUUUAUUGUUUGAAGAUUUGAAGAUUUGAAGCAUAUUUAAAAAAAAAAGUGAUUUAGUUAAUGUAUAAAAAUAAUAAGUUGAGUUUAAAUUCUACCCUACACUUUAAAUAAUGUCCCCAACUGCAUAACAAUCACGAAUUUCUUUAUUCAUACCUAUUUUACUUUUUUAAUCAAACGUGCAUUUCACACGCAAUUUCAACUUGUUCUUUUUCUAAUCAAACAUAAAUUAAAAAAAAAAAAACCCAAAACAAAAAAGGAAGUCCGGAACUGGCAACGUAAUAAUAAUAUUGGUAUAUAUAGAGAAGCUAUCAAACAGUUGGGACUUGAAACCGUAAAAUAAAUACUUUGUCGGGAAAAAGCUGAAAAAAAAUGAAUGUUUCGCUUGCCCUUUGUCAUAACUCAUAGUGAUGUAAUUGCUCCACUCUCAUUAAAAAAAAAAACGUAGUGAAAUUUAUCAAAUGGUUUAAGAUCUUAAAAAAAUAUACAUAAAUAGGAAGAUUGAGUUGACAGACGGGAAAUAUAGGUCCAAUAUGUAAUAUGUUUGUUAUAUUAUAAUGGUACUUUAAUAAAAUAUAUAAAAUGUUAGGUGUAGUAUGAAUGAAAAGAGAAAGGAGGGAUAGUUCUUGCCCCCAACAGUGUUGUUAAGUUAGGUUUUAAAUAAUUAAUUUAAAGAUGAGGGAGGAAGAGAAGCUCAGCCUCCGUCUCCGUCUGCACAUAUUCCAACCAAUGAAGAAAUUCUGAAUGAUGUCGGCCAAGGGAAGGAUAGCAUGCAGCGAAGAGCAUGUGGCCCUUUACCCUACAUUAUCUACUAAUAUACGACAUUACAUUUAUAGUUGCUGAAAAACACACAAGUAAUUAAGAUGCCAUUGCCUUCAAGUGCCAACUAUAUAGCUGCCUUUGACCACACCACUUCAUGUUCCUUCCAUCUCUAUACUACGUUGCUUGCUUUGCCUCUUGGAGAAUGAUACAUUUGCAGGUGAUCCGCAAAAACAACGUCCGCACCUUUCAACUAGCAGCUAUAUAUUAAUUAAAUGGAAAACGAAGAAGAUUCAAAAACAUGGUAUAUCGACGUCGAAACUAACCACCAUUCACAAAUAUAAAAUUAAAUGCUAUAUAAAGACUGCAUGCGCAAGUGGAGCAGAACUGGCCCUUCCCUACUGUCCAUACCCUGGCCUGCUGAAAGUCACUGAAAAUAAUGCCUAAUGGUGGUGGAUCCCCAGCCACUCUGUAAUUUAUAAUUAUAAUGAGAUGCUUGGAGGUGAAUGGGGAGAUUCAUAAGAUGAUAAACAGCUAAUGCUUCCAAUCCACCGAUUAGUCUACCCUAAUUUAAAAUACAAUAUCAUUCUCCCAUGUAAGUUUUUCAGAUACCCAUCUAUGAGCGAUAUAAAAUCUGCACCAAGUUUUCGCUUAUUUGAUCUGCACCGUCCAUUGUGAUUGUUGCACUUAAUCAUAUCCCUACAAACUUAGGAAUUACUCAAUUAAUGCUCACGUAAUUAUAUCUAAUCGCCUUGCAUGGCAUAUCAACUAACUUCAUUCAAUUUGCUAAAUGUCAACAUUAAUUGCACUGGCUUGUAACAUAAAAUUAGAAAUUGAGAGUCGGACAAUUUCAAACCCAACAACAAACAGUGUAUUUGGAUGCAAUGCUAAUCCUUUUUACGUUGUCGAUCGACAUCCAACUUUCACUUUUGCAGUGAAGACAUUGAGUUAUUGUCUUGUCAUACAAGUCUCUAAUUUCAAUACCAGCCGCCGACACAAGUACUGUAGACAAGAGGAGUUGCUUGUUGUUUACUAUAUACUACUCCAUUGCUUCCUGCCUAUUUCAUCACCUCAAGCAACUUCAGCUUAGAAUUAUUGGAUAAUAACGACUGUUCAAAUGAAGAUAUAGCGGAUGGAUGCGUCUGUGAAAUGUCAAUGUUUUAGACGGGGGCCGGGACAUGAAUUAGAAAGCAAGCCCAACAACUGAAACCUCAAUCUUCAUUUGUUUCGGGGCUUUAAACUUAGGCAAAAAAUCAUGGGCGGUCUUUGAUCGAAAAUAGCCAGAUCUGUACGUACCUCUUCGUUUGAUUUGGGUGUUACAACGGUCACCCAAAUAAAGUCCAAUGUGCUGAUCAACCUUUUUCCAAAAUCAUACACCUAAAAGUUUAAAUUAUUCAUAACCAUCGAAAGCUUUACUAUUGGCCAUGGAAUUUUUUAUAAAGGCAACAGUGUUGAGGCUUGACUAUAUGAAAAGCGCAUGGCCCUACUUUUCACUAUCUUAAGAUUCCUCCUAUCCUCCGUUGAUUUUCAGAUGAGGAAAGCCAUCCAAUCCCUACACUAUCCGCAACCCUUAGCUAAUUUUGUUGGGAAAAAAGAAAUAAAUAUAUAUAUUUUAUUUUAAUCCUUGUGAGAAGGCAACAUUUUAAAGAUAAUUUAAUCAUGGAUUAUUAUUUAAAAUAAAAUAAAAUUUAAAAUUCAUCCAUGAUUCUUAAACUCUAUCUAAAAUAUUCUCUCUCUAUAUUUUUAAUAUUUUCCAUGUAUAUUAUAUUAUCUAUAUUUAAAAUUCAUAGUUAUCUUUCAACAAUAUCAUUUCUAAAAUACGAAUUUAUAAACAAACCAUUUACUUUUAUUAUCUUUAGAAUAAUUCAACCUAGUUAAAUUUGGGGUUUUACAAUUAAUUUUAAUUGUAAUUUUGAGCAGACAUGGCAUAUAGGAAUAAAGUAGACAUCUUUUAUUCCACUAACUGGUUUUGUUUCUCAUUCUAACAUUAUUUGGCAGCUAGAUCUGUGCUUGUGUUCACACCAAGAUCCCCUCCAAAAAAAAAUAAAAUAUGGAAGCUCUACUCUCUGAAUUCACCUUCCUCUCAGAUCAAGCAUUACAAGACAAGAACUUUGAUCCAUCCACCAUAGAAGACCUAAUGAAGCUGUUUGAGAUUGAAUCAUACAAGGCAUGGGCAGCUAUGGAGCUUGAACAAGAAGAGGAAGUGAAAGAAGCUGAAACAAGCAUGCAGCAAGCUGAGGGUUAUCUUGACUCAGUCAUGGAAGCUGCGAUGGAUGAGUUUAGGCGGUUGGAGGAGGAAAUGGAACGCAUGGCAAAGGCUGAACUGAAGGACCUGGAAGACACAGCCGACAAGGCUAGAAAAAUGGGAAACCUGAUGGAAAAAGCUGCCGCUAUCGCCUCCAAAAAGUACGUUGAGGCUGCACUUAAUUCUGCUACUGCUUCUAUGAAAUCUGCUUGGAAAGGACUUUCUUCUAAAAAGGUUCAUCCUUCAUGAAAUGAAGCUCUAGUUGUAUCUUACAUAUAAUAUAAUUGAAAUACCCCUUGUUCUGGGUUUUCUUUCUUUCAUUUCACUGUAUGUUUUUCAUAAAAAGUAAUUAAAAUCCAUGAACUGGAUCUGGAUUUCUCCAGGAAUAAGAAAACUGGCAGGCAACAUGAGGCUUAGAAAGCUAUUUCCUUCAUUGUUUUUUGACUUGAAUUACUUGAUGAACUAGGCUAAUGUCACUCACAGAUUCUUCCAAUGUCUUAAUUAAAAGCAGCAAAAAGGGGGUUUGGAUACAGUACUGUAUCUAUAUUCCCCUGUGCUUAAUUAAUACUACAUACUGUUUCUUCAGUAUUCAGAUUAGAUCUUUUGAAUUGAUUAUAUCCUAAUGGUUGUUACUCUAUGAUUAUGGAAUGCUGUUGCAGAACCAGUAAUCCUCCAUUGAAAUCCAAACACCAACCCAAUGUCCGAUUAAGAGUUGAUUGAACCCAUUCUCAUAUCCUUUAAGCAACACAAUUGAGGAUACUUUUUUUUUGGCUUUUCCAACUAUUUGGAUGCUUUUAUUUUGCUCAUUAAUUAAAUGAUAGUUUGCAGGGAUAACUUCCAUUUCUUCAUUAAUUAAACGAUAGUUUUCAGGGAUUACUUCCAUUUCUUCCUAAACUUUAUGCUUUAUACGCACACCCCCUAUACACACUAUACAGCUGAAAGAAAAUAUAUGUAUAGAAAUAAAUUAAUGGUCUUUUUUUUGAAGAAAUUGUUGGAUAAUUUGCUGUCAUGUAAUCAAUUGUGUUAAGAAUGGAUGAAGCUAAGGGAUCUAAUAAUCAUGCAUGAAAGUAUUUAUGUAAUAUGCAUGUAUGUACUAGAUACACAUUAAUUAUUAGAUGCAUAUAUUAAAACUAAUAAUCACAAACAACAACUAUAUAUAUAAAGGUUGUAAGAGAUGAAGCCAUUACAAGAAAGUACAAAAGUAAGAGAUAAAAAAAUUAUGACAUGAGAAAAGUAUCCAUUCCAUGUUUAGUGUUUCUUCCUUUCACCAACUCUAGAAUCCUCUCCAACUAAGAAGUAUCAAUAGCUAGAGGUCCUUACAAUGUGAGUGUGAGUGAAAAUAAAAUUAAUCAUGACUUCUACAAGCACAAUCUCCAAUAAUGUUCAAAUUCCUAUCAUCGACGGCGAAAAUUAUGAUUUUUGAACAGUCAAAAUAGAGGCAUUAUUCACUUCCUUGAAUGUCUUGGAAUAGUCAAGGAGGGCUAUCAAGAUCCAGAAGAUGAAGAACAACUUGAAGAAUUAAAGAAUGAGAAGAUUACAAAUGUCAGAGUUCUUAGGAUGAUCUAAAGAGGAGUAACGGAUGUCAUAUUUCUCACAAUUAUGAAAGAAAAAAGAAAACUAAAGAAGCAUGAAAUAUUCUACAACAAUAAUUCAAAGGAGACAUAAAAAUGAGAGCAGUUAAACUUCAAUAUCUCAAAAUCUCAAUGAAAAAAUGAAAGAGCAUGAAAGCAUAAAUAAGUAUCAUAAUAGAUUGUCCAAGUUGGUGAAUCAAAUGAAGGCACAUGAAGACAUUAUUGAUGAUAGUAGAGUUGUUGAUAAAAAUCUAAUCAGCUUGACAAAAAAUUGAUCCUCUGGUGGUAGUUAAUGAAGAAACUAGGGAUUUGUCAAUCAUGACUAUUUAAGGGUUGAUAGGUACGGUUUACUAAGAUCCUAUGAGCAAAGAUUGUUACGUCAUUUAGAUAAAUCUGUUGAGAGCAUGUUUCAAUCCAAGCUUACUAUUGAAUUCAAGAAUGGUGAGAAAUCUUUAAUAUAAAACAAAGGCGAACCUUCUAGAGGUGGUAGAUUUGGAAGAGGUUGAGACAGAGGAAGAAAUUCACGUGGACGAGGUAGAAACAAUAAUAAUGGUGGACGAGACAAUGAUAGUGGAUCCAGUAAAUGAUGUGGAAUUUAUAAAAAAAAAUAG